rnacentral:rRNA from 1 species
GCUAGUUGGUGAGGUAACGGCUCACCAAGGCCACGAUCCGUAGCUGGUCUGAGAGGAUGAUCAGCCACAUCGGGACUGAGACACGGCCCGAACUCCUACGGGAGGCAGCAGUGGGGAAUAUUGGACAAUGGGGGAAACCCUGAUCCAGCCAUGCCGCGGUGGGAAGAAGGCCCUCGGGUUGUAAAGCACUUUCAGCGAGGAAGAACGCCUAGCGGUUAAUACCCGCUAGGAAAGACAUCACUCGCAGAAGAAGCACCGGCUAACUCCGUGCCAGCAGCCGCGGUAAUACGGAGGGUGCAAGCGUUAAUCGGAAUUACUGGGCGUAAAGCGCGCGUAGGUGGCUUGAUAAGCCGGUUGUGAAAGCCCCGGGCUCAACCUGGGAACGGCAUCCGGAACUGUCAAGCUAGAGUGCAGGAGAGGAAGGUAGAAUUCCCGGUGUAGCGGUGAAAUGCGUAGAGAUCGGGAGGAAUACCAGUGGCGAAGGCGGCCUUCUGGACUGACACUGACACUGAGGUGCGAAAGCGUGUGUAGCAAACAGGAUUAGAUACCCUGGUAGUCCACGCCGUAAACGAUGUCGACCAGCCGUUGGGUGCCUAGCGCACUUUGUGGCGAAGUUAACGCGAUAAGUCGACCGCCUGGGGAGUACGGCCGCAAGGUUAAAACUCAAAUGAAUUGACGGGGGCCCGCACAAGCGGUGGAGCAUGUGGUUUAAUUCGAUGCAACGCGAAGAACCUUACCUACUCUUGACAUCCUGCGAAUUUGGUAGAGAUACCUUAGUGCCUUCGGGAACGCAGAGACAGGUGCUGCAUGGCUGUCGUCAGCUCGUGUUGUGAAAUGUUGGGUUAAGUCCCGUAACGAGCGCAACCCUUGUCCUUAUUUGCCAGCGCGUAAUGGCGGGAACUCUAAGGAGACUGCCGGUGACAAACCGGAGGAAGGUGGGGACGACGUCAAGUCAUCAUGGCCCUUACGAGUAGGGCUACACACGUGCUACAAUGGUCGGUACAAAGGGUUGCCAACUCGCGAGAGUGAGCCAAUCCCGAAAAGCCGAUCUCAGUCCGGAUCGGAGUCUGCAACUCGACUCCGUGAAGUCGGAAUCGCUAGUAAUCGUGGAUCAGAAUGCCACGGUGAAUACGUUCCCGGGCCUUGUACACACCGCCCGUCACACCAUGGGAGUGGACUGCACCAGAAGUGGUUAGCCUAACGCAAGAGGGCGAUC